rnacentral:miRNA from 1 species
GGAUCGGGCUGGGCUGGGCUGGGCUGGGCUGGGCUGGGCUGGGCUGGACUGCCAAUGUCCUGUGUGUUUUCUUUGCUCUGC